CCGUAGCCUCAUAGAGGGGGAGUAGCCUCCCGAAAGGGAGAUUAAUACCGCAUAAUGUAUCGAUAUCACAUGGUAUUGACACUAAAGGAGUAAUCCGCUAUGAGAUGGACCCGCGGCGCAUUAGCUAGUUGGAGAGGUAACGGCUCACCAAGGCGACGAUGCGUAGCCGACCUGAGAGGGUGAUCGGCCACAUUGGAACUGAGAUACGGUCCAG
rnacentral:rRNA from 1 species